CAGCCGCCGGGGAAUACGGAGGGUGCAAGCGUUAAUCGGAAUUACUGGGCGUAAAGCGCACGCAGGCGGUCUGACAAGUCAGAUGUGAAAUCCCCGGGCUUAACCUGGGAACUGCAUUUGAAACUGUCAGGCUGGAGUCUUGUAGAGGGGGGUGGAAUUCCAGGUGUAGCGGUGAAAUGCGUAGAGAUCUGGAGGAAUACCGGUGGCGAAGGCGGCCCCCUGGACAAAGACUGACGCUCAGGUGCGAAAGCGUGGGGAGCAAACAGGAUUAGAUACCCGCGUAGUCCCUGUCUCUAUACAC
rnacentral:rRNA from 1 species